rnacentral:rRNA from 1 species
GACUCUCGGCAACGGAUAUCUCGGCUCUUGCAUCGAUGAAGAACGUAGCGAAAUGCGAUACUUGGUGUGAAUUGCAGAAUCCCGUGAACCAUCGAGUUUUUGAACGCAAGUUGCGCCCGAGGCCUUCUGGUCGAGGGCACGUCUGCCUGGGCGUCA